GGAGGCAAGUGUGCAAAAGAU
rnacentral:siRNA from 1 species